rfam:Lottia gigantea unplaced genomic scaffold LOTGIsca_3439, whole genome shotgun sequence.
GUCAGGAUGGCCGAGCGGUCUAAGGCGCCAGACUCAAGGAUAUCUUCCUUCGCUGCCAUUCAGCGAAAUGAGCGUUCUGGUCUACGAAUGUAGGCGUGGGUUCGAAUCCCACUUCUGACA